GUGUGGGGAGCACAUUCGGGCUUGGAUCCGAGGCGAGCGGAGGAGAGAGGACCAGAGCGAAGACACCUGUCAGGUGUGGCUGGCUCGCUCGUAAUGGCGCCUCGACUCCCCAGCAUCGACCGGCCCCGCAAAGCUGCACGACACAGAUGAGUCAGAAAACCUCUGAAUCGCCAACAACGCACUGAAUUGAUGAUGCCGACGCGGGAGGGGUAACUUAGUCCUGGUGCACAUGGGGUCACCUUCAGUAUGCAAGCGAGACGCUCCGGCCGUCACGGGAGCAAGGGGAACAGGCGAGAGGCAAGGAACUGUGGCUUCCCAAACCACCGGAAUCCCACAGCCGCAUACUUCAUUGACGUCCAUGUAACGGCAGCGCACAUUCCCCCGCUGCCGACACUGCGAGCCGUGGUGUUGUGAUUGCCGCUGGAAGCGCUCAAGUGUCCUGGCGGCCCUGAAUUAUGAUGUAUAUGUGGUGUGAGUCAUUAUGCUUUCCCC